UACGAAGGGAGCUAGCGUUGUUCGGAAUCACUGGGCGUAAAGCGCAUGUAGGCGGUUGUGUCAUUCAGGGGUGAAAUCCCGGGGCUCAACCUCGGAACUGCCUUUGAUACAGCACGUCUCGAGUCCGGAAGAGGUGGGUGGAAUUCCUAGUGUAGAGGUGAAAUUCGUAGAUAUUAGGAAGAACACCGGUGGCGAAGGCGGCCCACUGGUCCGGUACUGACGCUGAGGUGCGAAAGCGUGGGGAGCAAACAGG
rnacentral:rRNA from 1 species